CCUACGGGUGGCAGCAGUGGGGAAUAUUGGGCAAUGGGCGCAAGCCUGACCCAGCAAUGCCGCGUGAAGGAAGAAGGCUUUCGGGUUGUAAACUUCUUUGACAGGGGAAGAGCAGAAGACGGUACCCUGAAAACAAGCCACGGCUAACUACGUGCCAGCAGCCGCGGUAAUACGUAGGUGGCAAGCGUUGUCCGGAUGUACUGGGUGUAAAGGGCGUGUAGCCGGGAAGGAAAGUCAGAUGUGAAAUCCGGAGGCUCAACCUCCGAAUUGCAUUUGAAACUGUUUUUCUUGAGUAUCGGAGAGGUAAUCGGAAUUCCGAGUGUAGCGGUGAAAUGCGUAGAUAUUAGGAAGAACACCAGUGGCGAAGGCGGAUUACUGGACGACAACUGACGGUGAGGCGCGAAAGCGUGGGGAGCAAACAGGAUUAGAUACCCCGGUAGUC
rnacentral:rRNA from 1 species